rnacentral:rRNA from 1 species
UACAGAGGUCUCAAGCGUUUGUUCGGAUUCAUUGGGCGUAAAGGGUGUGUAGGUGGCGCGCUAAGUCGGGUGUGAAAUUUCGGAGCUUAACUCCGAAACUGCAUUCGAUACUGGCGUGCUUGAGGACUGGAGAGGAGACUGGAAUUUACGGUGUAGCAGUGAAAUGCGUAGAUAUCGUAAGGAAGACCAGUGGCGAAGGCGGGUCUCUGGACAGUUUCCUGACACUGAGACACGAAGGCCAGGGGAGCAAACGGG